rnacentral:rRNA from 1 species
UUAAGCGACUAAGCGUACACGGUGGAUGCCUAGGCAGUCAGAGGCGAUGAAGGGCGUGCUAAUCUGCGAAAAGCGUCGGUAAGGUGAUAUGAACCGUUAUAACCGACGAUACCCGAAUGGGGAAACCCAGUGCAAUUCGUUGCACUAUUGCAUGGUGAAUACAUAGCCAUGCAAGGCGAACCGGGGGAACUGAAACAUCUAAGUACCCCGAGGAAAAGAAAUCAACCGAGAUUCCCCCAGUAGCGGCGAGCGAACGGGGAGGAGCCCAGAACCUGAAUCAGCGUAUGUGUUAGUGGAAGCGUCUGGAAAGUCGCACGGUACAGGGUGAUAGUCCCGUACACAAAAAUGCAUAUGUUGUGAGUUCGAUGAGUAGGGCGGGACACGUGACAUCCUGUCUGAAUAUGGGGGGACCAUCCUCCAAGGCUAAAUACUCCUGACUGACCGAUAGUGAACCAGUACCGUGAGGGAAAGGCGAAAAGAACCCCGGCGAGGGGAGUGAAACAGAACCUGAAACCGUGUACGUACAAGCAGUGGGAGCACCUUCGUGGUGUGACUGCGUACCUUUUGUAUAAUGGGUCAGCGACUUAUAUUUUGUAGCAAGGUUAACCGAAUAGGGGAGCCGUAGGGAAACCGAGUCUUAACUGGGCGAAUAGUUGCAAGGUAUAGACCCGAAACCCGGUGAUCUAGCCAUGGGCAGGUUGAAGGUUGGGUAACACUAACUGGAGGACCGAACCGACUAAUGUUGAAAAAUUAGCGGAUGACUUGUGGCUGGGGGUGAAAGGCCAAUCAAACCGGGAGAUAGCUGGUUCUCCCCGAAAGCUAUUUAGGUAGCGCCUCGUGAACUCAUCUUCGGGGGUAGAGCACUGUUUCGGCUAGGGGGUCAUCCCGACUUACCAAACCGAUGCAAACUCCGAAUACCGAAGAAUGUUAUCACGGGAGACACACGGCGGGUGCUAACGUCCGUCGUGAAGAGGGAAACAACCCAGACCGCCAGCUAAGGUCCCAAAGUCAUGGUUAAGUGGGAAACGAUGUGGGAAGGCACAGACAGCCAGGAUGUUGGCUUAGAAGCAGCCAUCAUUUAAAGAAAGCGUAAUAGCUCACUGGUCGAGUCGGCCUGCGCGGAAGAUGUAACGGGGCUAAACCAUGCACCGAAGCUGCGGCAGCGAACGUAUCACUUAAAACGCUUAACGUGACGGCAAAGCCGGCAUGUUCAAGCCACACUAAACGUUGAGUUGGCCGAUGUGCUGACAAACGAACAGGCGUUUUAAGGAUACGUUCGUUGGGUAGGGGAGCGUUCUGUAAGCCGUUGAAGGUAGUCUGUGAGGGCUGCUGGAGGUAUCAGAAGUGCGAAUGCUGACAUAAGUAACGAUAAUGCGGGUGAAAAACCCGCACGCCGGAAGACCAAGGGUUCCUGUCCAACGUUAAUCGGGGCAGGGUGAGUCGACCCCUAAGGCGAGGCUGAAAAGCGUAGUCGAUGGGAAACAGGUUAAUAUUCCUGUACUUGGUGUUACUGCGAAGGGGGGACGGAGAAGGCUAGGCUAGCCGGGCGACGGUUGUCCCGGUUUAAGCAUGUAGGCGGAGUGACCAGGUAAAUCCGGUUGCUUAUCAACGCUGAGGUGUGAUGACGAUGCACUACGGUGCAGAAGUAGUUGAUGCCAUGCUUCCAGGAAAAGCCUCUAAGCAUCAGGUAACAUGAAAUCGUACCCCAAACCGACACAGGUGGUCAGGUAGAGAAUACUCAGGCGCUUGAGAGAACUCGGGUGAAGGAACUAGGCAAAAUGGUGCCGUAACUUCGGGAGAAGGCACGCUGGCGCUAGGUGAAGAGACUUGCUCUCGGAGCUGAAGCCAGUCGCAGAUACCAGCUGGCUGCAACUGUUUAAUAAAAACACAGCACUGUGCAAACACGAAAGUGGACGUAUACGGUGUGACGCCUGCCCGGUGCUGGAAGGUUAAUUGAUGGGGUCAGCCGCAAGGCGAAGCUCUUGAUCGAAGCCCCAGUAAACGGCGGCCGUAACUAUAACGGUCCUAAGGUAGCGAAAUUCCUUGUCGGGUAAGUUCCGACCUGCACGAAUGGCGUAAUGAUGGCCAGGCUGUCUCCACCCGAGACUCAGUGAAAUUGAACUCGCUGUGAAGAUGCAGUGUACCCGCGGCAAGACGGAAAGACCCCGUGAACCUUUACUAUAGCUUGACACUGAACAUUGAGCCUUGAUGUGUAGGAUAGGUGGGAGGCAUAGAAGUGUGGACGCCAGUCUGCAUGGAGCCAACCUUGAAAUACCACCCUUUAAUGUUUGAUGUUCUAACUCGGCCCCGUAAUCCGGGGUGAGGACAGUGUCUGGUGGGUAGUUUGACUGGGGCGGUCUCCUCCCAAAGAGUAACGGAGGAGCACGAAGGUUAGCUAAUCACGGUCGGACAUCGUGAGGUUAGUGCAAAGGCAUAAGCUAGCUUGACUGCGAGAGUGACGGCUCGAGCAGGUACGAAAGUAGGUCUUAGUGAUCCGGUGGUUCUGAAUGGAAGGGCCAUCGCUCAACGGAUAAAAGGUACUCCGGGGAUAACAGGCUGAUACCGCCCAAGAGUUCAUAUCGACGGCGGUGUUUGGCACCUCGAUGUCGGCUCAUCACAUCCUGGGGCUGAAGUAGGUCCCAAGGGUAUGGCUGUUCGCCAUUUAAAGUGGUACGCGAGCUGGGUUUAGAACGUCGUGAGACAGUUCGGUCCCUAUCUGCCGUGGGCGUUGGAAGAUUGAGAGGGGCUGCUCCUAGUACGAGAGGACCGGAGUGGACGAAUCACUGGUGUUCGGGUUGUCAUGCCAAUGGCAUUGCCCGGUAGCUAAAUUCGGAAGAGAUAACCGCUGAAAGCAUCUAAGCGGGAAACUUGCCUCGAGAUGAGUCUUCCCUGGGGCUUUAAGCCCCCUGAAGGAACGUUAAAGACGAUGACGUUGAUAGGCUGGGUGUGUAAGUGCAGCGAUGCAUUGAGCUAACCAGUACUAAUGAACCGUGAGGCUUAACCUU